CCAAUGGGCCUCUCUUUCCAGUGAUGGCCGACUAGGCCAUCUUUUGAUAUAUAUGCAGCUAGAGUCAAGAGCUCCGGGGUACUGGUUAGUUCAUAAUGUUUGGCUUGCUUUCUUAUAGAACCCAAGACUACCAGCCCAGAGAUGGCACGACCCACAAGGGGCCUUUCCCCCUUGAUCACUAAUUGAGAAAAUGCCUUACAGCUGGAUCUUAUGGAGGCAUUUCCCCAACUGAAGCUCCUUUCUCUGUGAUAACUACAGCCUGUGUCAAGGUGACACACAAAACCGGCCAGUACAAUUGACCCUUUAUAAGCUUGACACACAAACACAUCACUAGUAAGCCUCAACCCUUACUUUCUUUUCUUUUUUUUUUUUUUUUUUUUUUUUUGGGAUUUUCUUAGUUUACAUUUCAAAUGCUAUCCUGAAAGUCUGCCAUACCCUCCCCCCCACCCCCUCACUCCCCUACCCACCCACUCCCACUUCUUGGCCCUGGUAUUCCCCUAUACUGAAGCAUAUAAAGUUUGCAAGACCAAGGAGCCUCUCUUCCCAAUGAUGGCCGACUAGGCCAUCUUCUGCUACAUAUGCAGUUAGAGACACGAGCUCUGGGGUUACUGAUUAGUUCAUAUUGUUGUCCCACCUAUAGGGGUGUAGACCCCUUCAGCUCCUUGGGUACUUUCUCUAGCUCCUCCAUGGGGGCCCUGUGUUCCAUCCAAUAGCUGACUGUGAGCAUCCACUUCUGUGUUUGCCAGGCACCGGCAUAGCCUCACAAGAGACAGCUAUAUCACAACCCUUACUUUCUUAUUCAUCCCCAAGAUCUAAAUAUCUUUAAAAGUCCCACAGUCUUGUAUAUUAAAAGUUCAAUUCCUUUAGAAUGUCCAAUAUCUUUUAAAAUUCAAAGUAUCUUAACUGUGGGUUCCACUAAAAUACUUUCUUCCUUCAAGAGGGAAAAAUCACAAUCAAAAGCAAAAAUCAAUCUCCAACCGUCUAAUGUCUGGGAUCCAACUCACAAUCUUCUGGACUCCUCUGAGGGUUUGGGUCACUUCUCCAGCUCUGCCCUUUGUAGCACAAACCUUGUCUUCUAGGCUCCAGAUGCUUAUACUCCACUGCUGCUGCUGUUCUUGGUGGUCAUCACAUGGUACUGGCAUCUUAAAACAAUGCUGUCUUUCACUGUAACUAGGCUUCACCAAUAGCCUCUCAUAGGCUCUCUUCAUGGUGUCAAGCCUUAAUUCCUUUGCAUAACCCCUUCUGUCCUAGGCCAUCAAUUACAACUAAGGCUGCACCUUCAGCAAUGGCCCUCCAUGGCCUCUUCAUCAGCUCCUGUUUCCUUAGCUUCUUGAGUUCCAGUCCUGACUUCCUUUGGUGAUGAACAGCAGUGUGGCAGUGCAAGCUGAAUAAACCCGUUCCUCCCCAACUUGCUUAUUGUUCAUGAUAUUUUGUCCAGGAACAAAAACCCUGACUAAGACAAGGACCGAGAACAUGGUAGAAGAAUUUGGGUGUAGGGAUGUUGGAAGAAACUAACGAAAAAGUGGGUCCAGAGCUGGAGCUAGUCCUGUCCCUAAAGGUCAUAGGUUACACUCUUGUUGCCAAAGUACAAUGCUACUGGGACAUGAUGGGGUCUUCAGGAGUUGUAGUCUAAGAGAUGAAAUCUAAUCUAGGGAUAUGUCCUUGAAGGGGACAUUGGGACCAUAGUCUGUUCUUCUUUUGCUUCAUUUCCUACCUGCUUUGAAACAAGCAUCUUGUUCUGCCACAUGUCCCCAACAUUGUCCCCAAACAUUGGAGCAGCCAUCCACAGACUGCCAAGAAGAAAAAAAAAAAAAAAGAUAAGAGCAUCCUACAUUUACAGAAAAUAAUAAUAAUAAGAUUGAAAUGUAUCCCAAAUUUCAUCCCAGGGAAAGAGGGGGGAGAAAGACGCUGUGACGGCCUGCCCACAGUCCCCCUCUGGAAUGAAGAACUUGCUAGUUCAGCUGCAAUAGAGCUGCUUGCUCCAGGCAUUCAGUUAUCAAGUCCUGUGUCUCACUGCCUUGGUGAAGAGCCACUAGUACAGGAGAGGGCACCAUCUCCAGGCAGCUGCUCCAGAUGAAAUAGGAAUAGUCAGGGUCCAAGCCACUGAUGCCACUGGUGACCUCCCACCUUGAAAAGUCCCUAGAGUGUGGCUAGGGGGUCUCCUGAAACUCAGUCACAGCUCAGCUUCUCCCUCUAUAGAUCCUGCCUCCCAGAGCUCCUCCUUUUCAGGAGGGUUGAUCACAGGGACACCUUCGGAAACAUUGGCAUGAUGAAUUUCAUUUUAGUGGACACUUCGUGGAAGCCUGACCCUUGAUCCCAGAGGAAUGGGUACACUAUGAACUACAGAGUUGGAUUUGUAUGACGUUAGGGUUAGAAAGCAUGCUAUUAAGUCUCUUUCUAAAGAGGGACAUCUAAUAAUGGUGGAGACUUACCAAGGACAACCACUAUAAGGGAGUCAUGAUCUGCUUGACAAUAAAGGUAUUGUUUUCUUGUUUUAAUGAAAAAAUCAAAGUUUCCAAGUCAUGUACAGGUCAAUAACACCCAGCUAUAGCCACAUAGACUAUCAUUUUUGUAGUGAGCCAGGAUGUUUAGAAAGCUCAGAACCCUCUUCAAACUUAUUAGAUAUAAUUAACAUCAUGUUGUUAAAAAUCGGUAACAUAGGCAAAAUCUAUAACAUAGUAACCAAAAUGAACAUUAAGUAGGUCUACAAUUCUGGUUUAGAAACAAAUUGCUUUUAUCUGUACAGUUAGAAAGGUCUGAAAUAUUGCAUCUUCAUCAUGUCCACAGUGAUUGCCACUAAGUGAUUUGGAGAUCUUUUUCUAUAAUUUGCUAAACAUUCAAAAACAACAUGUGUGGUUCUCUUAUCAAUGAUAAAACAUAACAGCUGAAGUUAAUGUCUAGAUACACACAGGGAUGCAGGACAUAGGUGAUUGAUGGAGACAAUAAGGGACUUUCUUGGGCAAUAUUUCAAUCUCACAUGUGUAUAUUUUGACACAAUAAUUUCUACAAUAUUUAAUUGUUUGAAUACUCUAGCUUUAGAAGUUUCUAGCCUCCUAAAAGUUUUUCAAGAUUUUUAUGUCGUCUUAAUUUUUUUCCUGGUCCAAAUAAACUCUUUAGCUCUCAUGAGAGUUGUUUUUCCAGCUGGGGAAGGAAUAUUUUUGCUUCACUUUUAGAGAUUUGGGCUUUCAGCGAAAGCCGCUGAAGCUUCUGAGUCUGUCAGAAGGCACAGCCAAGACUGCGUGGACACAGACAUCAGUACUGUCUCCUCUAGUUUGUCCCCUUAGUUGUCUUCUGUUUUCAGGUAACAACCACAGGGUUUCAACCCCAUCUUGCCUGUAGUCUGUGACUGUCAGGUCUCCUGUGCCUCCUUUGUCUUAGUCAGAGGUUCUCUAACGAUGGGAUGAACAUAUGUAUUAAAGGGCAUUUAUUUAAAAUGGCUAACAUGAUAAGGUACUAGAGAGGCUGAGAACUUUGUCAACAUUCUAUCCCUCAAGCAAUCCUAGUCAGGCACUAAAGUUCUGGAGAGUCCUGGAGAGCUGGUUGUCCACAGUCUACAUUGGAGGUCUGAAGAUGAUGUUUGUAAUAUCAGUGAAGAAAUGCAGCAGCAGAAGAGAUGAACUUGCCAGCAAGAGUGAAGACAAGCAGGCACAAAGCAAAGCUUCCUUCCUCCACAUCCUUUUAUCUGGACUGCAACCACAAGGCCCAGGUCUUCCUGUUUCAAAUGACAUGGUCCAGAAAGCCCCUCGGGUGACUUACAUUUCAAGAUGACUUGCAUUUCAGUUGAUUCCAGAUCUAGACAAGUUGACAAGCAAGAUCAGCCAUCACCUUUUUUUUUUCUUUCUUUCUUUUUUUUUUUUUUUCUUUAAUCUCUAUAAUGAAAAGGGCUGGGCUGGGGUUGCAGCGUGGGGGUAGAGCACUUACCCAGCAUGCACUACGUGCUGGGUUCAAUCUUCAGAACUGCAGAAAAUAAAAUAUAAAAGCGGAGACGUCUUAGAGAGUCUGAACAGAGUGCCAAACAUGGACACUCACAUUCAGUAAAACACAGAAACAAAAAGUCGGUUUUCAUGCAUUUUAAUCAUUUUAACUCUUUUCCCCUAUUAUAAGUUUUACGCUUUAUAACACGGCAGGAGGGAGCAUCUUGGCAGGGCCCUGCUAAAAUGUCCCCUUGAGCAACCACAUCAUGUGGACAGGCCUGGUAUAAAGAAGAUUUAGUGCCAAGGAAGGGAAGAGAAGGGGAUCUGGAAAAGGGUCGGAGAAGGGUGACAGAGGACAGGAGAGAGAGGAGAGAGAGGAGAGAGAAGAGAGAGAAGAGACCGUCUGGGAACACAUGGGAACAGAGAGAGAAAGAUGGCGGAGAGAGAAUA
rnacentral:lncRNA from 1 species